GAUUUCAAUUGAAAAAGUCAUGAACAACAAAGUUGAAUAACUCAUAGAGAUCUAAAACUUUUACUUUUGUUAUUUCUUCAUCCGACGAAACGUUAGUAAUAUUAUUCACAAAUUUUACAUAUAUGUGUCAUAGUUUAUAAAACCAGAUAAGAGAUAUGUCAAUUUUGUGAAUAAUGUUACUAUCACUUUGUCGUAUGAAGAAAUGACCAAAAUAAAAGUUUUAGAUCUUGAUGAGUUAUUCAACUUUGUUGUUGAUGACUUUUUCAGUUGAUAUC
rnacentral:pre_miRNA from 1 species